AUGGUCUCCAUCCAGAAGAUCACGAAGAGGAACCAGACGGACGAUAACAGGAAGAGUUCGCACACCAUGCUGGCACCAGGGAACUGGUCGGACCUGCAGCGCACAGAACAGGUGAAUCUGUUACCGACACGAGGAUCCAGCCGGACAGGGCUCUUCUCCGGCAGAAUGGAUUCCAGCAGACCGAAAGCAGUGGAGAGAAUGGAGGUGAAGACAAGGCAGGAGCUCUGGGAGGAGGGAUGGAGGGGAGAGACGUGGAGGGCUGCACCAGCGAGCCUGACCCCCCACGCGGAUCAGGAUCGGGAUCCCUCCAAAGAGCAUCAGGCAUCCACCUCCUCUUCCUCUGACAGCGAGGAUGACGAAGAGGUAUUUGGCCUGCAGUUUUCCCUGACACGUCUUUCCCAGAAGCACAAACACCUUGAGCAUGUUUUUCCACCCCCCCCCCCAACAGUGCUCUUGCAAGCUUCUGUGCCAAAUUCUGUGUACAAUUCCUCAAAUUCUCACACGAUUUGGUGACUUCUGAUCUCACCACUUUCAUGUGUUAACUGGAUCGACUGAUCAGCUGGUGAAACUGUUAAGGUCUCCUUGCAUUGCAUGGGGCCAAUCAGAUGAGAGAACUGUGACAGAGAGGUAAUUCGUUAAAUUGGAGUAAAUGCUCGCAUUGGCUUUUACGUUUGCCAACAAAUGUGAAAUUCGAAGAGCAUGCAAUUUCUGCCACACCUCAACAAGAAAUCCAAGCCUUUAGAUACAGGGUUAGUGUUCGGCAGCUGACACGAACUCCAGGUCCUGUUAGGUCAGUUUCUCGGAUGUUGAAAAGCCACAUUCCUGCGACCAGGUCGUGUGCAGUCCAUUCCUUGGCAGCCAGAGCUUCUGUUCAAUAUUCCUUAGAGAAACACAGUCCCCUGACCUUCCCAGUGCCAUCGCCUCUUACUCUCUCCCUGUCUGCCAGGAUGGAGAGAAGGAGAAGAAGAAGGAGAAAAAGAAGAAGAAAAAGAAAGAUAAGGGCAGUGUCACUGAAAGAGGAGGUGAGCCACUCCUGUCUCUUUAUUGUGGAAUAUACAGUAUGAAUAGCACUUACAGUAGCUAUGACUACUUCUUUUUAUAUGUGAUGUAGAAUUAGGUGUCUCCCAUUAAGUCAAGGCAAGCAGCCACAGAUAGCUAUUUCUCCUAUAUUUGGACUUCUCCUUGUGGCUGUGCCUUUAAGGCUGUGCCUUUAAUGAAAUGUCUAUCAGCAAAUUUUACAAGGGUUCAAUUGACAUCAGUAAGAAGAAUCCACUAUAAAUUAACUUCGCACUUUUUAUUGUAAUGCACAAAUUUGGGCAACAAGGAUCAACUGAAUAGUUAAAGGAAUGUAAAUUAUACACAACUGCAUGCACACACUUUGCAUUUAAUAAUAAUAAUUAAUAAUUGCUUACACUUUAUAUAGCGCUUUAACACUCCACUCAAAGUGCUUUAUAGGUAAUGGGGAUCCCCUCCACCACCACCAAUGUGCAGCCCCACCUGGAUGAUGCGACGGCAGCCAUAGUGCGCCAGAACGCUCACCACACAAGCUAUCAGUGGGGAGGAGGGCAGAGUAAUGAAGCCAAUUCAUAGAUGGGGAUGAUAAGGAGGCCAUGAUUGGUAAGGGCCAAUGGGAAAUUUGGCCAGGACACCGGGGUUACACCCCUACUCUUUUCGAGAGAUGCCCUGGGAUGACCACAGAGAGUCAGGACCUUGGUUUUACGUCUCAUCCGAAGGACAGCACCUGUUUACAGUAUAGUGUCCCCGUCACUAUACCUGGGCAUUAGGACCCACAUGGACCGCAGGGUGAGCGCCCCCUGCAGGCCCCACUAACACCUCUUCCUGGAGCAACAUUAGUUUUUCCCAGGAGGUCUCCCAUCCAGGUACUGGCAAGGCUCACACCUGCUUUAGCUUCAGUGGGUUGCCAGUUGUGAGUUGCAGAGUGACAUGGCUGCUGGCUGGCAUUGGACGUGAGUCCACAUAUACACACUGAUGGUAAUGCACAUACACACACUUUGGGAGUGAUAUAUAUACACAACAAUAUUGAUGAGCCCACACAUACACUCACAUUGAGCGUGAUGCUUAAAUUCACCCUGUGAGUGAUGCACACACACACACAC
ensembl:lincRNA